rnacentral:rRNA from 1 species
GAGUUUGAUCAUGGCUCAGGACGAACGCUGGCGGCGUGCUUAAUGAAUGCGAGUCGAACGGGAUCCGAGGCGAGUCUUCGGACAGACUUCGGUGAGAGUGGCGAACGGGUGAGUAACACGUGGGUAACCUGCCUCCAACACGGGCAUAACAGAGGGAAACCUCUGCUAAUUCCCGAUGCCCUGUCUGUACGCGAGUGCGGACAGGAAAGCUCUGGCGGUUGGAGAUGGGCCCGCGGCCGAUUAGCUUGUUGGUGGGGUAAUGGCCUACCAAGGCGACGAUCGGUAGCCGACCUGAGAGGGUGACCGGCCACACUGGGACUGAGACAUGGUCCAGACUCCUACCGGAGUUAGCAUCAGGGAAUCUUGCGCAAUGGGCGAAAGCCUGACGCAUCGACGCCGCGUGGGUGAUGAAGGUCUGCGGAUCGUAGAGCCCUGUCAGGAGGGAAGAAGUUCUGACUGUACCUCCACAGGAAGCCCCGGCUAACUACGUGCCAGCAGCCGCGGUAACACGUAGGGGGCCAGCGUUGUCCGGAAUUACUGG